rnacentral:hammerhead_ribozyme from 1 species
AGUCGAAACCAAGGUGAAUCCUUGGUCUGUCAGUAAUGACCAACUGGCACUGAUGAGACAGGUCAAA